rnacentral:rRNA from 1 species
AAUGAACGCUGGCGGCAUGCCUAACACAUGCAAGUCGAACGAAGUCCUUCGGGGCUUAGUGGCGCACGGGUGCGUAACGCGUGGGAAUCUGCCCCUUGGUUCGGAAUAACAGUUGGAAACGACUGCUAAUACCGGAUGAUGACGUAAGUCCAAAGAUUUAUCGCCGAGGGAUGAGCCCGCGUAGGAUUAGGUAGUUGGUGUGGUAAAGGCGCACCAAGCCGACGAUCCUUAGCUGGUCUGAGAGGAUGAUCAGCCACACUGGGACCGAGACACGGCCCAGACUCCUACGGGAGGCAGCAGUGGGGAAUAUUGGACAAUGGGCGAAAGCCUGAUCCAGCAAUGCCGCGUGAGUGAUGAAGGCCUUAGGGUUGUAAAGCUCUUUUACCCGGGAUGAUAAUGACAGUACCGGGAGAAUAAGCUCCGGCUAACUCCGUG